GCCCGAAUGGCCAAAUGGUAAGGCGUUUCACUCGUAUUUGCGAUAUGAAAAGAUUCUUGGUUCGAUUCCGAGUUUGGGCA